rnacentral:rRNA from 1 species
UACGGAGGGUGCGAGCGUUGUCCGGAAUCAUUGGGCGUAAAGGGCGCGUAGGUGGCCCGGUCAGUUCGUGGUGAAAGCGCGGGGCUCAACCCUGCGUCGGCCAUGAAUACUGCCGCGGCUGGAGCACUGUAGAGGCAGGCGGAAUUCCGGGUGUAGCGGUGGAAUGCGUAGAGAUCCGGAAGAACACCGGUGGCGAAGGCGGCCUGCUGGGCAGUUGCUGGACACUGGAGGCGCGACAGCGUGGGGAGCGAACGAGGAUUGAU